rnacentral:rRNA from 1 species
AGUGAACGCUGGCGGUAGGCCUAACACAUGCAAGUCGAACGGCAGCACAGUAAGAGCUUGCUCUUACGGGUGGCGAGUGGCGGACGGGUGAGGAAUACAUCGGAAUCUACUCUUUCGUGGGGGUUAACGUAGGGAAACUUACGCUAAUACCGCAUACGACCUACGGGUGAAGGCAGGGGAUCUUCGGACCUUGCGCGAAUGAAUGAGCCGAUGUCGGAUUAGCUAGUUGGCGGGGUAAAGGCCUACCAAGGCGACGAUCCGUAGCCGGUCUGAGAGGAGGAUCGGCCACAUGGGAACUGAGACACGGUCCAGACUCCUACGAGAGGCAGCAGUCGGGAAUAUUGGACAAUGGGCGCAAGCCUGAUCCAGCCAUACCGCGUGGGUGACGAAGGCCUUCGGGUUGUAAAGCCCUUUUGUUGGGAAAGAAAAGCAGCAGGUUAAUACCCCGCUGUUCUGACGGUACCCAAAGAAUAAGCACCGGCUAACUUCGUG